GACGAACCGUGCGAACGUUGUUCGGAAUCACUGGGCUUAAAGGGCGCGUAGGCGGGUUCGCAAGUCUGUGGUGAAAGCCUCCAGCUUAACUGGAGAAGUGCCGUGGAUACUGCGAAUCUUGAGGAGGGUAAGGGCGUCUGGAACGGUCGGUGGAGCGGUGAAAUGCGUUGAUAUCGACCGGAACUCCGGUGGCGAAGGCGAGGCGCUGGACCCUUUCUGACGCUGAGGCGCGAAAGCCAGGGGAGCAAACGGG
rnacentral:rRNA from 1 species